rnacentral:lncRNA from 1 species
AUAAGAGCCACACAGUGAGAUCUGCUGCAGGUGGAGACUGUCCGACCUUACUUCUCUACACCGCCCCUCCCCCUCCCCCGCGCCUACUGAGGAGGAGCUUGCGCGAGCGCACCUCAUUCGGCUCUCCCACACUCUGAGGAGAUUUACACCACUUGACAAACCUGUGAGCUCUACAGCAUCUUCUACAACGCACUGACCCACUCUUCCCUAGCACCUCACCCGAUUGACCAACGCUCCCCUAACACCACGCCUGACCAACGCUCCUAUAACACCACGCCUGACCAACGCUCCCCUAACACACACACAUUGACCCACGCUCUCCUAACACCACGCCUGACCAACGCUCCCCAAACACACACACAUUGACGCCUGACCCACAUCACAAAUUGACCCACGCUCCCCAAACAUCACGAAUUGACCCACGCUCCCCAAACAUCAC